rnacentral:rRNA from 1 species
GACGAACCACCCAAACGUUAUUCGGAAUUACUGGGCUUAAAGGGUGCGUAGGCGGCGCGGAAAGUCAGAUGUGAAAUCCCUCGGCUUAACCGAGGAACUGCGUUUGAAACUACCGUGCUUGAGUAAGACAGAGGUAAGCGGAACUUCGGGUGGAGCGGUGAAAUGCGUUGAUAUCCGAAGGAACACCGGUGGCGAAAGCGGCUUACUGGGUCUUUACUGACGCUGAUGCACGAAAGCUAGGGGAGCAAACGGGAUUAGAAACCCCCGUAGUCC